rnacentral:rRNA from 1 species
GAGUUUGAGCCUGGCUCAGAGCGAACGGUGGCGGCAGGCUUAACACAUGCAAGUAGAGCGCCGUAGCAAUACGGAGCGGCAGACGGGUGAGUAACACGUGGGAACGUACCUUUUGGUUCGGAACAACUGAGGGAAACUUCAGCUAAUACCGGAUAAGCCCUUACGGGGAAAGAUUUAUCGCCGAAAGAUCGGCCCGCGUCUGAUUAGCUAGUUGGUGAGGUAAUGGCUCACCAAGGCGACGAUCAGUAGCUGGUCUGAGAGGAUGAUCACCCACACUGGGACUGAGACACGGCCCACACUCCUACGGGAGGCAGCAGUGGGGAAUAUUGGACAAUGGGCGCAAGCCUGAUCCAGCCAUGCCGCGUGAGUGAUGAAGGCCCUAGGGUUGUAAAGCUCUUUUGUGCGGGAAGAUAAUGACUGUACCGCAAGAAUAAGCCCCGGCUAACUUCGUGCCAGCAGC